rnacentral:rRNA from 1 species
UGAGGAAUAUUGGUCAAUGGGCGAGAGCCUGAACCAGCCAAGUAGCGUGCAGGAUGACGGCCCUAUGGGUUGUAAACUGCUUUUGUAUGGGGAUAAAGUCAAUCACGUGUGAUUGUUUGCAGGUACCAUACGAAUAAGGACCGGCUAAUUCCGUGCCAGCAGCCGCGGUAAUACGGAAGGUCCGGGCGUUAUCCGGAUUUAUUGGGUUUAAAGGGAGCGUAGGCUGGAGAUUAAGUGUGUUGUGAAAUGUAGACGCUCAACGUCUGACUUGCAGCGCAUACUGGUUUCCUUGAGUACGCACAACGUUGGCGGAAUUCGUCGUGUAGCGGUGAAAUGCUUAGAUAUGACGAAGAACUCCGAUUGCGAAGGCAGCUGACGGGAGCGCAACUGACGCUGAAGCUCGAAGGUGCGGGUAUCGAACAGGAUUAGAUACCCUGGUAGUCCGCACAGUAAACGAUGGAUGCCCGCUGUUGGUACCUGGUAUCAGCGGCUAAGCGAAAGCAUUAAGCAUCCCACCUGGGGAGUACGCCGGCNACGGUG